UACAGAGGUCCCAAGCGUUGUUCGGAUUCACUGGGCGUAAAGAGCUCGUAGGCGGCCAGUUGCGUCUGCUGUGAAAUCCCGGGGCUCAACCCCGGGCGUGCAGUGGAUACGGGCUGGCUAGAGGCAGGCAGGGGAGAACGGAAUUCCCGGUGUAGCGGUGAAAUGCGCAGAUAUCGGGAGGAACACCGGUGGCGAAGGCGGUUCUCUGGGCCUGUACUGACGCUGAGGAGCGAAAGCGUGGGGAGCGAACAGG
rnacentral:rRNA from 1 species